CUAGAGCUGAAACAACUAAUCGAUUUAAUCGAUUAUAAUCGAUUAUUAAAAUAGUUAACAACUUUUUUAGUCAUCGAUUAGUUGUUUAAUAAUCAUAUUUUACCGCAUAAAGUCUAUUUUUACCACAAUCUGACAUCGGUUACAAGCUGUUAAAUUUGCCGCCAGUGUGUGGCAGUAAUGAGCCACUGAUCUACCAGUGGAGCCGUAGAAGAAGAAAUGAGCCAAUGAGUGCCCUCGGUUUUCAUGACGUAUCACGUUACUGACGCUCAUCUUGCUGUGAGAGAUGGCGGAACAAGAGGAAAUACGGAAGAAAAGUAGAAGCGACAAAAUUUUAGAGAAACCCCGGACAAAAACCUCACGAGUAUGGGAGCACUUCACUAGAUGCAUUGAAAAGGCAAAAUAUGCAAAAACCAUCUAGCAUGGCACGGAAGCACGACGUCCCUAAGUGAACAUUUGAGACGAAAACGUGGGGGCUGAGGAAGAGCACCGCGGUCAAGUGAGCCGUCAUUUGGAAGAGCCAGCCCGAAAAAAAACAAGCAACGAUGGACAACUACAUGGGAAAAGAGACACUCACCCCCCAGCAAUUCAUACCACUUACAAACUCUAUUCUAAACAUGCUGGUAAAAGACAUGAGGCCACUAUCCAUGGUGGAAGGAGCAGGCUUCCAGCUAAUGCUAAAAAAUUAUUCUGGACUGAUAUUUUGCACUGUUUAGCUCAUUUUAUACUGCUGACUGUGUUCAUGUGCAAUAAAAUAGAUUGCAGUCAACUGC